rnacentral:lncRNA from 12 species
AUGGUCACCGUUGAAGGGAUGCAACAGCUCUGGGUAAUACCAGCGCUGGACGCAUCCGCACUCCCGCCGGAUCUCCCGAACGCACGCAAAGUUGGCAGUAAGGCGUUGGGAAUCUCAAAUUCUCCGAGUGCAUUCCAGUCUGAAAGGCGACUUAGAAAACAACUGGUUCUCUCUCUCCACCCAGGCCAUCCACAGCGUAUGUUUUUCUCAUCUGUGCCUCCUCUCGUUCACUGCGUUUGACUCUCUCUCUCUCUCUCCCCUUCUCUCCCUCUCUAACUUUUUGCUCACCUCCCCCUUCCUUCCUUCCUUCCUUCCUCCUUUUUCUAACUUACUCUUUUUUUACCCCCCACUUUUCCUCCUCGUUGCUCUUUCUCCAACGGUGGGCCUCUUUUCUCUCCCUCCCGCCUUUUUUUUUCUCCAACUCUGAAGUCUUACUUCAGCGUUUCACCUCUUUCUUCACCUCCCCACUGCGUAAAAAUUCCCCAGCUCACCCAUUCCCAAAGUCCAAACACUUCCUUCCUACACCUUCCCCGUCUCUCUCUCCCAGGGUUGGGGCUCGUAAAGCGUUGACAGACGCAGCGGCUCCCGAUCUUUCCCCUCAGAUCUUGCCACUCGGCAAUUAAACACAGCCAGGAUUCCACGCCGCCUGAGACGGGGUGGAGAGAGGGAGAGAGAGACAGGAGGAGGUGGGGUUUUGGACGUUGCUGAAGCAGACAGGAUCUAACAUGAGCCAGAUACUGAGAGAGAGAGGUGGGGAGGGGAAUGAGAGAGAGAGAGAAAGAGAGAGAGAGACGUUCGGCCCCAGAAAAGGGGAUUUUCGGUAUAACUGGAUUCCCACAAGCCCGUGUGAGUUGGAGAAAUGAGUGCGCAUUUACCGUCCCGUUUGUUUAUGUGAGUCAGCUGAGAUACUGCCACUGUUUGUUAUGAUUCACGUCUUGUGAAACCUUUAAUGAACAACACACCACAUGCUGUUUAUAGAUCGCUUGAAUUUCGCAAAAUCACACUCGUUUAUUUGGAGGUAAACACUUUCGGUUUUAGUUUUCCACUGGAAAGAGGAACCGCAAAUGACACCUCCUUUAUUAUGGUCGUUCUCACAGCCAGCAACUGAGAGGAGUUUGGUCAGCGUCUCCUGCUACUCAGAUGUUUCUCGUGAGAGAAAAAGCCCACAUGUGUCUCCUUUAGAGGUUUAAGAGAGAUCUCAAGAAAUGUCUCAAACUGAGACACCCAUAACCAAAUGCAUUGGUGAUGUUUGUUCGUUAGGAUUCGAUAGGUCUUGUGACACAAGUUGAAUGCAGGGUUAUUAUAUUUAACUAAAACUUAAACCAUAAAAAUGUUACUUGAAAUAAAGUAAACAUUAACUACAAUUAAAAAUAAGUAUAUUUUAUUUAACUUUCUUCAUUUCAGUUAGAUGCCAAGGCACUUCUUAUUUUCAUUUAUUUUUAUUUUUUUCUUAAUUUCAAUCUAA